UUGAUUUCUGGAAACACAUUGCCCUGUGGUUUGUCUGUUCCCUCUUGCCGGUGUGUCUGUGAGCAGGCUUGGCUGUGCCUGUGAUCAAGCUGAACUCCACGACCCUGCGUGAGCAUGAAGUGGUGCUGACCUCAGGAACGUCCUUCAUGCUGAGCUGUGAGGGACAGGCUGGAGUCUUCUGGAAGACCAGGCUCAGCCAGCACAGGAAGAAAACUCUCACUGUUAGGCAUGCCACUGCAGACUACACGGGAACAUAUAGGUGUAGUUACAAGAAUCAAACCAACCUGUACUCCCAGAUUCACAUCUAUGUUAAAGAUCCAGGCCAACCCUUCACUACUCCUCGGUCCAGCGUUGUAGUAGAGCGGGAAGGCUCGGACUGCCUGCUGGAUUGUAUGCCUACAGACCCUGGUGCCACAGACUUCUCCCUCUGCUUGGCCAACCGAUCCACUGUUCCUCUGGAGAUGAAGUAUACUGCCAAUCCCACAGAGGGCAUCUGGAUCCGAGACCUGCGCCCCCACUAUAGUGGCGACUAUGUCUGUACCGUGAAUCUAAACUCACUCCAGAGGGUGUCUGUAGUCUUCCAAAUCACCGUCAUCGAAAGAGUGAAGCUCCCUCCCUCUGUGUUUACUGAAGUGGGGGAGUUGGUUCGCAUCGUUGGGGAAAGUCUGCAGAUCAGCUGCUAUGUCACAAAUCCAGACCAUUCCUACCAUGUCACAUGGCAGCAUUCAUCCAAGAAGAAACUUCACGCCAACAACACGGUGAAUAGUAGCAGGAACCCAGUUCUCAUCACGAGUGUUUUGACUCUCUGUGACGUCAGCAUGUCUGACAGUGGGAACCUGAGCUGUAUAGGCAACAACUCAGCAGGAGAGAACCGUUCCACAGUCUCUCUCAGAGUAGUAGAUAAACCGUACGCUCACCUGACGCCUGCGCAGACGUCCAGAGUUCUGCGGCAAGGUCUUGUGCGAGUGCUGCAGGAAGGAGAUCUGCUGAAGCUGGCGGUGUGUGUGGAUGCAUACCCUGCACUUCAGCACAGCUGGUGGGACACACCCAGAGCCCAGAACAAGUCCACUACAGAGCAAACCUUCUACAGGGUUCAGAAGAGGUUUGGUGGCAGAUCAUAUUGCCACACACUGUCUAUGUUGAAUGUGUCUCCAGAGAAACCCAGUGUUGUGAUUAAAUGGCGGAAUGGAUCCCUCGCUUGUGCUGCCUCUGGGUAUCCCGAACCAAAGAUCCACUGGCGCCGAUAUAUUGGUACUACGAUGCCUGAACACUGGUUUUCAAGGAUAUACACGGCUAUCUUCAUCGGAAGCUCAAUGGUGACCACUCUCCUGGUACUGGUGCUGGGAGUUUGUAUCUGCAGGUGGAAACAGGUAUUCCUGGUUCUUCUAACAACAGGGUUAGGGAUAGUUAACCUUUUGUCAUUAUCAUUUGUCCAGCAAGCUAACAGUGUUUUUGGAUUUUUACAGAAACCCAGAUAUGAAAUCAGAUGGAAAAUCAUAGAAGUUAAUGAUGGGAAUAAUUACACAUACAUUGACCCUUCUCAGCUUCCAUACAACACAAAGUGGGAAUUCCCCCGUGACAGGCUGAGAUUUGGACGGGUCCUGGGAGCAGGGGCCUUUGGGAAAGUUGUAGAGGCCACAACCUACGGUCUGGACGAUGAGGAACGUGUCACUCGCGUGGCCGUGAAAAUUACACAGCUAAAGGAAAAGGCGAGCGCUCAUGCAGAAGAACGUGAAGCCCUCAUGUCAGAGCUGAAGAUCCUGAGUCAUCUGGGGCCGCACGCCAACAUCGUGAACCUCCUUGGAGCAUGCACCCACGGAGGACCUGUGCUGCUUAUAACAGAGUACUGCUGUAACGGUGACCUGCUGAACUUCCUGCGGAGAAGAGCCCAGCUGUUUCUCUUUUGGAGUAACAUGUUUGUUUGUUUGUUUACUUUCUUAGGAUCCUGUAAUGGAGGAGGGAAUGGUUUAGACAUGGACUGUUUGCUGAGAUUUGCUGGUCAGGUGGCCCAAGGAAUGGAUUUCCUUGCAUCCAAAAAGUGUAUUCACAGGGAUCUGGCUGCGAGGAACGUCCUCGUGACUGACUGCUUUAUUGCCAAGAUCUGUGACUUUGGCCUUGCACGAGACAUCAUGAAUGACUCCAAUUACGUCGUGAGAGGAAAUGCCCGGCUGCCAGUUAAGUGGAUGUCUCCUGAGAGCAUAUUUGAGUGUGUCUACACUGUGCAGAGUGAUGUAUGGUCCUAUGGAAUCCUACUAUGGGAGAUCUUUUCUCUUGGUAGAAGUCCUUACCCAGAUGUGGUGGUUGACACACGAUUCUAUGAAAUGAUCAAAAGCGGAUAUCACAUGUCACAACCAGAUUUUGCCCCUAAAGAGAUGUACACCAUAAUGAAGCAAUGCUGGAGUCUGGAGCCAAACCUGCGGCCGCCCUUCAGCCGAGUCCUGCAGCUUAUCACAAAGCUCCAGCCAGAGAUGCAGGACUCCAACACUGACCAAUAUAAGAACUUGCGCAAGGAGCUGCAGCAAAAGCUCACAUCAAUGCAGGGUGUCUUUGCCCAAGACCGUGAGGACCCAUGUUACCAAACACCAUGCCAUGAGGAACAUGAGGACCCAUGUUACCAAACACCAUGCCAUGAGGAAAAUGAAGACCUGUGUCACCAAACACCAUGCCAUGAGGAAAAUGAAGACCUGUGUCACCAAACACCAUGCCAUGAGGAAAAUGAAGACCUGUGUCACCAAACAUCGUGCCAUGAGGAACAUGAAGACCUGUGUCACCAAACACCAUGCCAUGAAAACGCUCAGCUUCUAACAAAGCCAGAAUAUUACCAGCUGUGCUGA
ensembl:lncRNA